CUUUAUGAUUGUCACAGUUCCCGU
rnacentral:piRNA from 1 species